GGAUGAAGAACGUAGCGAAAUGCGAUAAGUAAUGUGAAUUGCAGAAUUCAGUGAAUCAUCGAAUCUUUGAACGCACCUUGCACCCUUUGGCAUUCCGAAGGGUAUGCUCGUUUGAGUGUCAUUGUACUCUCACACUCUCCGAUCCUAUGGAUUCGGGGAGCGGUGGACUUGGGUGUUGCCGCCUUUCCCUGUGGCUCACCUCAAAUGCGUCAGUGCACCUCUUGGUUGGACAUAGUACGGCGUGAUAAGUGUCUUCGCCGGCACCUCGCAAGAGGGUGGCCGAUCGGGAGCUCUGCGCUUUCAAACCGUCUUCGGACAAUUUCUGACAUCUUGACCUCAAAUCGAGUAGGACUACCCGCUGAACUUAAGCAUAUCAAUAAGCGGAGGA
rnacentral:misc_RNA from 1 species